AACAAAUACUUUUCACUCUAGGUACCACAUAUACAAAAAUCAGCAAGACAGACAAAACAUCCAUCCUCAAGGAACUCAGUAGCAGAGGAAAUGGAUUGUAAACCACCUCAAUUCAAUGUGUCUGGCCUGUGAAAUCCAUUUAAAAGACAACUUACCUAACUGUUGAGCCCAUUUUAUGGCAGUACCAGUGUCUCCUGCAUUGCUUUCAGCUAAGCAUACGACUUCUUGUCCAAUCUUCCACCCAAUUAAUGGAUAAAAGCCUUGCAAAGCAAACAAUGAAUGUAAGUCAAAGAUAUGCAUAAUUCAUUAUAGAGACUUCUACAAUGUAAUGAUUUGGUUAUCUCAAAAAACUGCAAAGUGCCUCUGAAGUUAGACUGUGUACGUUCAAACUCCAGCCCUCUUACAUUUACUAGCUGUAGUCUUGCAAGUUUCUAAUCUUUUAGCUGCAGUUUCCUUAACUAUAGAAUGGCCUACCUCAGAGAGCUAUGAAAUGAAUAAACUGAAUUAACACAUAAAAAGAACUUAGCACAGUGCCUGGCAUAUAAUAUGAACAAUAAAUACUAGUAUGUAUUAGCUAUAGGCAUGUUUAUGUCUCUAGAAACAUGGCAAUAAAUAUUUUAAUUGAGAAA